rnacentral:rRNA from 1 species
AUUGAACGCUGGCGGCAGGCCUAACACAUGCAAGUCGAGCGAGCGGCGGACGGGUGAGUACUGUAUGGGGACUGCCCGAUAGCUGGGGAUCACUACUGGAAACGGUAGCUAAUACCGCAUACUAUCCGAUAACCCAUAUGGGAUUAGCUAGUAGGUGAGGUAAUUGCUCACCUAGGCGACGAUCCCUAGCUGGUCUGAGAGGAUGAUCAGCCACACUGGGACUGAGACACGGCCCAGACUCCUACGGAGGCAGCAGUGGGGAAUAUUGCACAAUGGGCGAAAGCCUGAUGCAGCCAUGCCGCGUGUAUGAAGAAGGCCCUAGGGUUGUAAAGUACUUUCAGUAGGGAGGCGUUACCGAAAGAAGAAGCAACGGCUAACUACGUGCCAGCAGCCGCGGUAAUUC